UCAGGCCUAACACAUGCAAGUCGAACGAACCCUUCGGGGUUAGUGGCGCACGGGUGCGUAACGCGUGGGGAUCUGCCCUUUGCUUCGGAAUAACAGUUAGAAAUGACUGCUAAUACCGGAUGAUGUCGCAAGACCAAAGAUUUAUCGGCAAAGGAUGAACCCGCGUAGGAUUAGCUAGUUGGUGGGGUAAAGGCCUACCAAGGCGACGAUCCUUAGCUGGUCUGAGAGGAUGAUCAGCCACACUGGGACUGAGACACGGCCCAGACUCCUACGGGAGGCAGCAGUGGGGAAUAUUGGACAAUGGGCGCAAGCCUGAUCCAGCAAUGCCGCGUAGUAAAGGAGGCCUUCGGGUUGUAAAGCUCUUUACCAGGG
rnacentral:rRNA from 1 species